rnacentral:rRNA from 1 species
UACGGAGGAUCCAAGCGUUAUCCGGAUUUAUUGGGUUUAAAGGGUGCGUAGGCGGCCUAUUAAGUCAGGGGUGAAAGACGGUAGCUUAACUAUCGCAGUGCCCUUGAUACUGAUGGGCUUGAAUGUACUUGAGGUAGGCGGAAUGUGACAAGUAGCGGUGAAAUGCAUAGAUAUGUCACAGGACACCAAUUGCGAAGGCAGCUUACUAAAGUAUGAUUGACGCUGAGGCACGAAAGCGUGGGGAUCAAACAGG